GGAUGUGAGGGUGAUCUGGCUGAGAUAUCUGUCACCCCAUUGAUCACCAGGGUUGAUUCAGCUGACCUGGCUGUUUAGGCAGGUGUUCCCAUCCUCCCUCACUGCUCCACGUGAGCCCCACCCAAAGCUUCACACUUGGUCGAAGAGCACAACCUUCCCAAAAAGGGGAGGACCAGUCUUCAGUCAAGGGUAUACAAGUAGCUGUGCUCCCCUGCUAGAACCUCCAAACAAGCUCUCAAUCCCUAGCUGAUGGAGUCUUUGGGAGGUGGAGCCUUGCUG
rnacentral:snRNA from 1 species